GGUUUGAUAUAUUUGUUUUGAAGUUUAUUUGUAAGAUUAGACAAAAAAAAGAGGUGAUCAUUAAUGAUUCGUCUUUUUGGGGUUCUAGUUUUUGGUGUUUUGAUUGUUUGGGUUGUUGUGGUUUCUUUUGAGCUGUAAAAUAAAAUUAUUUUGAAAAUUAAUUUGAUAAGUAAUGGAGAUAAAUAGACGACCACAGAUCUUGGGUAUGAAAUAUUUUUGAUUAUUGAUGUCAGCACAAUAUAGACAGUAAUUUAAAGGGAGUUGUGUGUAGAUUGUUUCUUACGGAUCAAUGAGGAGACGGAUAAUGACUCGAGUUGUUUCUUUGGUGAGGUCAGAGCCCUGGACA
rnacentral:lncRNA from 1 species